rnacentral:rRNA from 1 species
UACGUAGGGACCAAGCGUUGUUCGGAUUUACUGGGCGUAAAGGGCGCGUAGGCGGCAAUUCAAGUCAUCUGUGAAAUCUCCGGGCUUAACUCGGAACGGUCAGAUGAUACUGCUUGCUAGAGUACAGAAGGGGCAAUCGGAAUUCUUGGUGUAGCGGUGAAAUGCGUAGAUAUCAAGAGGAACACCUGAGGUGAAGACGGGUUGCUGGGCUGAUGACUGACGCUUGAGGCGCGAAAGCUAGGGUAGCAAACGGG